AGCGAACGCUGGCGGCAGGCUUAACACAUGCAAGUCGAGCGGGCAUCUUCGGAUGUCAGCGGCAGACGGGUGAGUAACACGUGGGAACGUACCCUUCGGUUCGGAAUAACGCUGGGAAACUAGCGCUAAUACCGGAUACGCCCUUUUGGGGAAAGGUUUACUGCCGAAGGAUCGGCCCGCGUCUGAUUAGCUAGUUGGUGGGGUAACGGCCUACCAAGGCGACGAUUAGUAGCUGGUCUGAGAGGAUGAUCAGCCACACUGGGACUGAGACACGGCCCAGACUCCUACGGGAGGCAGCAGUGGGGAAUAUUGGACAAUGGGCGCAAGCCUGAUCCAGCCAUGCCGCGUGAGUGAUGAAGGCCUUAGGGUUGUAAAGCUCUUUGUCCGGGACGAUAAUGACGUACCGGAAGAUAG
rnacentral:rRNA from 1 species